rnacentral:rRNA from 1 species
GGAGUUAGCCGGUGCUUCUUCUGCGAGUAACGUCACAGAUGUAAGGUAUUAACUUACACCCUUUCCUCCUCGCUGAAAGUGCUUUACAACCCGAAUGCCUUCUUCACACACGCGGCAUGGCUGCAUCAGGGUUUCCCCCAUUGUGCAAUAUUCCCCACUGCUGCCUCCCGUAGGAGUCUGGGCCGUGUCUCAGUCCCAGUGUGGCUGAUCAUCCUCUCAGACCAGCUAGGGAUCGUCGCCUAGGUGAGCCUUUACCUCACCUACUAGCUAAUCCCACCUGGGCUUAUCCAUCAGCGCAAGGCCCGAAGGUCCCCUGCUUUCCCCCGUAGGGCGUAUGCGGUAUUAGCAGUCGUUUCCAACUGUUAUCCCCACAAAUGGGCAAAUUCCCAGGCAUUACUCACCCGUCCGCCGCUCGUCAUCUUCAAAGCAAGCUUUUGAAAUGUUACCGCUCGACUUGCAUGUGUUAGGCCUGCCGCCAGCGUUCAAUCUGAGCCAGAAUCAAACUCUGA